AGGAUGAACGCUGGCGGUCUGCUUAACACAUGCAAGUCGAACGGAGUAGAAAUACUUAGUGGCGGACGGGUGAGUAACGCGUGAGAAUCUACCUUCAGGACGGAGACAACAGUUGGAAACGACUGCUAACCCCCGAUGUACUGAAAAGGCAAAUAUUUAUAGCCUGAAGAAGAGCUCGCGUCCGAUUAGCUAGUUGGAGAGGUAAAAGCUCACCAAGGCGACGAUCGGUAGCUGGUCUGAGAGGACGAUCAGCCACACUGGGACUGAGACACGGCCCAGACUCCUACGGGAGGCAGCAGUGGGAAUUUCGCAAUGGGCGAAAGCCUGACGGAGCAAGACCGCGUGGGGGAAGAAGGGCUCUUGGGGUUGUAAACCCCCUUUUUCGUCUGGGAAGAACGCAAUGACGGUACCAGAGGAAUCAGCAUCGGCUAACUCCGUGCCAGCAGCCGC
rnacentral:rRNA from 1 species